CAUGCAAGUCGAACGGUAACAGGUCUUCGGAUGCUGACGAGUGGCGAACGGGUGAGUAAUGUAUCGGAACGUGCCCAGUAGUGGGGGAUAACUACUCGAAAGAGUGGCUAAUACCGCAUGAGAACUGAGGUUGAAAGCGGGGGACCUUCGGGCCUCGCGCUACUGGAGCGGCCGAUAUCAGAUUAGGUAGUUGGUGGGGUAAAGGCCUACCAAGCCGACGAUCUGUAGCUGGUCUGAGAGGACGACCAGCCACACUGGGACUGAGACACGGCCCAGACUCCUACGGGAGGCAGCAGUGGGGAAUUUUGGACAAUCGGUACGCCAAGUCUGAUCCAGCCAAUGCCGCGUGCAGGAACGAAGGCCUUCGGGUUGUAAACUGCUUUUGUACGAGAACGAAAAGGCUCUUGGUUAAUACCUGGGCGCUCAUGACGGUACUGUAAGAAUAAGCACCGGCUAACUACGUGCCAGCAGCCGCGGUAAUACGUAGGGUGCGAGCGUUAAUCGGAAAUUACUGGGCGUAAAGCGUGCGCAGGCGGUUUUGUAAGACCGAUGUGAAAUCCCCGGGCUCAACCUGGGAACUGCAUUGGUGACUGCAAGGCUGGAGUGCGGCAGAGGGGGAUGGAAUUCCGCGUGUAGCAGUGAAAUGCGUAGAUAUGCGGAGGAACACCGAUGGCGAAGGCAAUCCCCUGGGCCUGCACUGACGCUCAUGCACGAAAGCGUGGGGAGCAAACGGGAUUAGAUACCCUGGUAGUCCACGCCCUAAACGAUGUCAACUGGUUGUUGGGUAUUUGCUUACUCAGUAACGAAGCUAACGCGUGAAGUUGACCCGCCUGGGGAGUACGGCCGCAAGGUUGAAACUCAAAAGGAAUUGACGGGGACCCGCACAAGCGGUGGAUGAUGUGGUUUAAUUCGAUGCAACGCGAAAAACCUUACCCACCUUUGACAUGGCAGGAAUUCCGAAGAGAUUUGGAAGUGCUCGAAAGAGAACCUGCACACAGGUGCUGCAUGGCUGUCGUCAGCUCGUUGUCGUGAGAUGUUGGGUUAAGUCCCGGCAACAGAGCGCAACGCCUUGGCCAUUAGUUGCUACGAAAGGGCCACUCUAAUGGGACUGCCGGUGACAAACCGGAGGAAGGUGGGGAUGACGUCAAGUCCUCAUGGCCCUUAUAGGUGGGGCUACACACGUCAUACAAUGGCCGGUACAAAGGGUAGCCAACCCGCGAGGGGGAGCCAAUCCCAUAAAGCCGGUCGUAGUCCGGAUCGCAGUCUGCAACUCGACUGCGUGAAGUCGGAAUCGCUAGUAAUCGUGGAUCAGCAUGUCACGGUGAAUACGUUCCCGGGUCUUGUACACACCGCCCGUCACACCAUGGGAGCGGGUUCUGCCAGAAGUGGUUAGCCUAACCUUAUAGGAGGGCGUCACCU
rnacentral:rRNA from 1 species